GAUGAACGCUGGCGGCGUGCCUAAUACAUGCAAGUCGAGCGAACGGACGAGAAGCUUGCUUUUCUGAUGUUAGCGGCGGACGGGUGAGUAACACGUGGAUAACCUACCUAUAAGACUGGGAUAACUUCGGGAAACCGGAGCUAAUACCGGAUAAUAUUUUGAACCGCAUGGUUCAAAAGUGAAAGACGGUCUUGCUGUCACUUAUAGAUGGAUCCGCGCUGCAUUAGCUAGUUGGUAAGGUAACGGCUUACCAAGGCAACGAUGCAUAGCCGACCUGAGAGGGUGAUCGGCCACACUGGAACUGAGACACGGUCCAGACUCCUACGGGACGCAGCAGUAGGGAAUCUUCCGCAAUGGGCGAAAGCCUGACGGAGCAACGCCGCGUGAGUGAUGAAGGUCUUCGGAUCGUAAAACUCUGUUAUUAGGGAAGAACAUAUGUGUAAGUAACUGUGCACAUCUUGACGGUACCUAAUCAGAAAGCCACGGCUAACUACGUG
rnacentral:rRNA from 1 species